rnacentral:rRNA from 1 species
UACGUAGGUGGCAAGCGUUGUCCGGAAUUAUUGGGCGUAAAGCGUGCGCAGGCGGUGAUGUAAGACAGGUGUGAAAUCCCCGGGCUCAACUUGGGAACUGCAUUUGUGACUGCAUCGCUGGAGUGCGGCAGAGGGGGAUGGAAUUCCGCGUGUAGCAGUGAAAUGCGUAGAUAUGCGGAGGAACACCGAUGGCGAAGGCAAUCCCCUGGGCCUGCACUGACGCUCAUGCACGAAAGCGUGGGGAGCAAACAGG